AGAACGAACGCUGGCGGCAGGCCUAACACACGCAAGUCGAGCGCUGUAGCAAUACAGAGCGGCGCACGGGUGAGUAACACGUGGGAACGUGCCCUUCGGUUCGGAAUAACGCAGGGAAACUUGCGCUAAUACCGGAUACGUCCUGGCGGAGAAAGAUUUAUCGCCGAAGGAGCGGCCCGCGUUGGAUUAGCUAGUUGGUGGGGUAACGGCCUACCAAGGCUACGAUCCAUAGCUGGUUUGAGAGAACGACCAGCCACACUGGGACUGAGACACGGCCCAGACUCCUACGGGAGGCAGCAGUGGGGAAUCUUGGACAAUGGGGGAAACCCUGAUCCAGCCAUGCCGCGUGAGUGAUGAAGGCUCUAGGGUUGUAAAACUCUUUCGGGCGGGGACGAUAAUGACGGUACCCGCAGAAGAAGCUCCGGCUAACUUCGUGCCAGCAGCCGGC
rnacentral:rRNA from 1 species